GACGGAGCAAGACCGCGUGAGGGAUGAAGGCUCUUGGGUUGUAAACCUCUUUUACCAGGGAAGAAGAUCUGACGGUACCUGGUGAAUAAGCAUCGGCUAACUCCGUGCCAGCAGCCGCGGUAAGACGGAGGAUGCAAGCGUUAUCCGGAAUUAUUGGGCGUAAAGCGUCCGCAGGUGGUUAGUCAAGUCUGUCGUUAAAGCUCGGGGCUUAACUCCGAAAAGGCGGUGGAAACUGGCUGACUAGAGUACGGCAGGGGUAGAGGGAAUUCUCAGUGUAGCGGUGAAAUGCGUAGAUAUUGGGAAGAACACCAGUGGCGAAAGCGCUCUACUGGACCUGUACUGACACUCAGGGACGAAAGCUAAGGGAGCA
rnacentral:rRNA from 1 species